UACGGAGGAUGCGAGCGUUAUCCGGAUUUAUUGGGUUUAAAGGGUGCGUAGGCGGCCGAGUAAGUCAGCGGUGAAAUUUUGCAGCUUAACUGUAACAGUGCCGUUGAUACUGCAUGGCUAGGAUUUGGUUGCUGUGGGUGGAAUGUGUGGUGUAGCGGUGAAAUGCUUAGAUAUCACACAGAAUAUCAAUUGCGAAGGCAGCUCACAAAGCCAAGAUUGACGCUGAGGCACGAAAGUGUGGGGGAUCAAA
rnacentral:rRNA from 1 species